rnacentral:rRNA from 1 species
UUUCAAGUCCGCCGUCAAAUCCAGGGCUAACCCUGGACGCGGUGAAACUACCAAGCUGGAGUACGUAGGGGCAGAGGGAAUUUUCCGGUGGAGCCGGUGAAAUGCAUUGAGAUCCGGAAAGAACCCUACGGCGAAAGCACUCUGCUGGGCCGACACUGACACUGAGAGACGAAGCUCGGGGAGCAAAUGGGAUUAGAGAACCCCAGUAUUUGCCUAGCCGUAAUCGAUGGAUACUAGUGCUGUGCGACUUCGACCCGUGCCAGUGCUGUAGCUAACGCGUAUAGUAUCCCGCCUGGGAGUACGUCGCAAGAAUGAACUCACAAGGAAUUGAGGGGGCCCGCACAAGCGGUGGAGCAUGUGGUUAAUUCGAUGCAAGCGAAAACCUUACCCAGGGCUUGACUGCGCGAAUCUCUUGAAAAGAGAGUGCCUGGGAACGGACAAGGUGGUGCAUGGUUCGUCAGCUCGUGCCCGUAACGGUGUUGGGUUAAGUCUCGCAACGAGCGCAACCUCGUGUUUAGUUGCCCACUAUGGUUUGGAACCUGAACAGACCGCCGGUGUUAGCGGAGGAAGAGAUGGGGUGAGGCCAAGUUCAAUCAUGCCUUUUCUGGGCGACACACGUGCUACAAUGGCGGACAAAGGGUCGCGAUCUCGCCGGGGUGAGGGCUAACUCCAAAAAACCCGUCCUCGUUCGGAUUGCAGGCUGCAACUCGCCUGCAUGAAGCAGGAUCGCUAGUAAUCGCCGGUCAGCCAUACGGCGGUGAAUCCGUUCCCGGGCCUUGUACACACCGCCCGUCACACUAUAGGAGCUGGCCAUGUUUGAAGUCAUACCCUUAACCGUAAGGAGGGGGAUGCCUAAGGCUAGGCUUGCGACUGGAGUGAAGUCGUACAAGGUAGCCGUACUGGAAGGUGCGGCUG